CAGCCUUCAGAAUGAUACAGGAGAAAGACAGCCUCAACUCUGAAAAGGUCACACAUACACCAGAAAAGUGUGUCUAAGGAACCCUGUAAAAGGUGGGAGCUGGCCUCCCACACUAAAGAUGCAAAGUCACUUCUCCAAGGGGAGUUCAAACAGUAGAACACUUUCCUCAGGAGAAAGGCCAAAAUGAGCAGCAAUGUGAUCAGCUGGAGCAAUGAAGUGGCAUUACCAAAUGGUG